AGUCACGAUUUUCCAAAGGUCAAAGCCGGGACAAUGAGGAAAAAUAAAUUGAUAACAAUAUGCUUCUUUUUCCACAUAUUCCCCUAGGUGUAUAGAACGCGCUACUAUUAAAUCUCAGCUAUUAAAGCGAUGACCAACUUAUCAUACAACGGAAAACGGAAGAUUUUCUAAAGCUAUGACGAGGCGGCCCAUCUUAUAAUUCGCCCCACAUAACGCCGAAUGCGAUAUUGAUUGGCAGACAACUACUUUGAUUUACCGGGGACACAAUUUUGUUACGCGAAAACUACUUCAAGCUUACAUCGCUGGCCAUAUCCUUUAUCCUCGGAAGUCGUCGUCAUUGGAUGCGGAAAAGAUGUGGCACCCAUCAUCGACUGAUCGGAGGAUCUACCAGAAGAGAGCUGCCGGAAGGAGAAGCACUCGGUGAAUACAAGUACAUAUAAUGAAAUAACAAGUGCAUAAAUUCAAAUCCGAAUGACAAUUAAAAUACAUCUCUCUAAAAUGUGUUCU